AUAAUUUAUCUCUGUGUUGAAGCUAACGCGUUAAGCACUCCGCCUGGGGACUACGGUCGCAAGACUAAAACUCAAAGGAAUUGACGGGGACCCGCACAAGCGGUGGAGCAUGUGGUUUAAUUCGAUGCAACGCGAAAAACCUUACCACUCCUUGACAUGGAGAUUAGAUCCUUCUUAACGGAAGGGCGCAGUUCGGCUGGAUCUCGCACAGGUGCUGCAUGGCUGUCGUCAGCUCGUGUCGUGAGAUGUUGGGUUAAGUCCCGCAACGAGCGUAACCCUCAUCCUUAGUUGCCAGCGGGUUAUGCCGGGCACUUUAAGGAAACUGCCAGUGGUAAACUGGAGGAAGGUGGGGAUGAUGUCAAGUCAGCACGGCCCUUAUGGGGUGGGCUACACACGUGCUACAAUGGUGACUACAAUAGGUUGCGAUGUCGCAAGGCUGAGCUAAUCCGUAAAAGUCAUCUCAGUUCGGAUUGUCCUCUGUAACUCGAGGGCAUGAAGUCGGAAUCGCUAGUAAUCGUGGAUCAGCAUGCCACGGUGAAUACGUUCUCGGGUCUUGUACACACUGCCCGUCACGCCAUGGGAAUUGGCUUAACU
rnacentral:rRNA from 1 species